rnacentral:tRNA from 1 species
UCAAAAGUAGUUUAAUUUAAAAUAUUAAUUUUGGAGAUAAAUGAUAAUUUUUUGUUUUUUUGAA